CCUUUGGAGUGUCAUAUCAAACAUGAGUAGAGUUUUUUAUCGAAAGUGGACACGGUGAACAAGGAA
rnacentral:sRNA from 1 species